CCUACGGGAGGCAGCAGUAGGGAAUAUUGCUCAAUGGGGGAAACCCUGAAGCAGCAACGCCGCGUGGAGGAUGAAGGUUUUCGGAUUGUAAACUCCUUUUGUUAGAGAAGAUAAUGACGGUAUCUAACGAAUAAGCACCGGCUAACUCCGUGCCAGCAGCCGCGGUAAUACGGAGGGUGCAAGCGUUACUCGGAAUCACUGGGCGUAAAGAGCGCGUAGGCGGGAUAGCAAGUCAGAUGUGAAAUCCUAUGGCUUAACCAUAGAACUGCAUUUGAAACUGUUAUUCUAGAGUAUGGGAGAGGUAGGUGGAAGGCUUGGUGUAGGGGUAGAAUGCGUAGAGAUCAAGAGGAAUACUCAUGGCGAAGGCGACCUGCUAGAACAUAACUGACGCUGAGGCGCGAAAGCGUGGGGAGCAAACAGGAUUAGAUACCCGAGUAGUC
rnacentral:rRNA from 1 species